rnacentral:rRNA from 1 species
UACGUAGGGACCGAGCGUUGUCCGGAUUCAUUGGGCGUAAAGGGCGCGUAGGCGGCCUCUUAAGUCGAACGUGAAAUCCCCGGGCUCAACCCGGGAACUGCGUCCGAUACUGGGGGGCUUGAAUCCGGGAGAGGGAUGUGGAAUUCCAGGUGUAGCGGUGAAAUGCGUAGAUAUCUGGAGGAACACCGGUGGCGAAGGCGACAUCCUGGACCGGUAUUGACGCUGAGGCGCGAAAGCGUGAGGAGCAAACAGG